rnacentral:rRNA from 1 species
GUCUUGGCUGUAAACGGUGCACGUUUGCUGUAAGAGGAAUCGACCCCUCUUGUGGCGAAGCUAACGCGUUAAACGUGCCGCCUGGGAAGUACGGUCGCAAGAUUAAAACUCAAAGAAAUUGACGGGGGCCUGCACAAGCGGUGGAGUAUGUGGCUUAAUUCGAUGCAACGCGAAGAACCUUACCUGGCCUUGACAUGCAUAUAGUAGAAGGGUGAAAGCCUGACGAGGUAGCAAUACCAGUAUGCACAGGUGCUGCAUGGCUGUCGU